UACGUAGGGUGCAAGCGUUAAUCGGAAUUACUGGGCGUAAAGCGUGCGCAGGCGGUUUUGUAAGUCUGACGUGAAAGCCCCGGGCUUAACCUGGGAAUUGCGUUGGAGACUGCAAGGCUUGAAUCUGGCAGAGGGGGGUAGAAUUCCACGUGUAGCAGUGAAAUGCGUAGAGAUGUGGAGGAACACCGAUGGCGAAGGCAGCCCCCUGGGUCAAGAUUGACGCUCAGGCACGAAAGCGUGGGGAGCAAACAGG
rnacentral:rRNA from 1 species